CCUACGGGUGGCUGCAGUGGGGAAUAUUGGACAGUGGGGGCAACCCUGAUCCAGCCAUGCCGCGUGUGUGAAGAAGGCCCUCGGGUUGUAAAGCACUUUCAGUGAGGAAGAACGCCUGGUGGUUAAUACCCAUCAGGAAAGACAUCACUCACAGAAGAAGCACCGGCUAACUCCGUGCCAGCAGCCGCGGUAAUACGGAGGGUGCGAGCGUUAAUCGGAAUUACUGGGCGUAAAGCGCGCGUAGGUGGCUUGAUAAGCCGGUUGUGAAAGCCCCGGGCUCAACCUGGGAACGGCAUCCGGAACUGUCAAGCUAGAGUGCAGGAGAGGAAGGUAGAAUUCCCGGUGUAGCGGUGAAAUGCGUAGAGAUCGGGAGGAAUACCAGUGGCGAAGGCGGCCUUCUGGACUGACACUGACACUGAGGUGCGAAAGCGUGGGUAGCAAACAGGAUUAGAUACCCUAGUAGUC
rnacentral:rRNA from 1 species